UCACAUACAAUACCCAUACUAUGUGGAUUUUUCCUACGCUUUCAGUCCUUGUUUAUCAGCUGUUUUAAUGAUAACAUGGAACACUUUGAUUAAUGCAUUUCAAGUUAGUAAUUAGGACGAACUUUGAAAGAUUAGACCAACGUGACCCAAAAUUACCCGGCUUGAUAAGACAUUUAUGAUGGUGCAAGGAAAUCUUACAGAAGAGGUUCUAUUAAGUAUGUGAAAUGACUUACCUGUGGUUGCCAUGUGAGAAGUACAUUGAUGACUGAUGUGUUUUGUAAGGAUUUCAAGAAUAUGAACAAAUGAUUUGAUUUUGUUAUUUUGGAAGAUUCUUAGGAAAUUAGGGCAGCUGACACUUAGGUGAAAUAAGCAAUAAGUGUUUAUACCUGUACACAAAGGUAGUUGAAGAAGUGAGGUUUGAAAACCUUUAUAUACUAUUUAUAUAUCAGCCCUUUUUAAAGAAAACUAAGAACAAAAUGGGACAACUCAAGGACUUUCAGUUGCGCCGCUUGGAGGAGCACAAGUACUCCUGUGCCUCCUCCUCUUUAAUGGAUCCAAUGAUGCAGAAGUGGUGGUGCUGGCUGGUAGAGCAGUGUCCCCUGACUCUAGCCCCCAAUCUCAUUACCAUUAGUGGUUUACUUGUGAACAUCGCAACAUCUUUGCUUCUGGUUUAUUAUAGUCCAGAUGCCAAGCAAGAGGUACCGAGGUGGGCUUGUUUUCUUUGUGCCUUGGGGCUUUUUCUAUAUCAGAGCCUUGAUGCCAUUGAUGGCAAACAGGCCCGUCGUACUGGUACGUCAUCACCUCUUGGCGAAUUAUUUGACCAUGGCUGUGAUUCCCUUU